AUGAACGCUAGCUACAGGCUUAACACAUGCAAGUCGAGGGGCAGCAUGAACUUAGCUUGCUAAGUUUGAUGGCGACCGGCGCACGGGUGAGUAACACGUAUCCAACCUGCCGAUGACUCGGGGAUAGCCUUUCGAAAGAAAGAUUAAUACCCGAUGGCAUAGUUCUUCCGCAUGGUGGAACUAUUAAAGAAUUUCGGUCAUCGAUGGGGAUGCGUUCCAUUAGGUUGUUGGCGGGGUAACGGCCCACCAAGCCUUCGAUGGAUAGGGGUUCUGAGAGGAAGGUCCCCCACAUUGGAACUGAGACACGGUCCAAACUCCUACGGGAGGCAGCAGUGAGGAAUAUUGGUCAAUGGACGAGAGUCUGAACCAGCCAAGUAGCGUGAAGGAUGACUGCCCUAUGGGUUGUAAACUUCUUUUAUACGGGAAUAAAGUGAGGCACGCGUGCCUUUUUGUAUGUACCGUAUGAAUAAGGAUCGGCUAACUCCGUGCCAGCAGCCGCGGUAAUACGGAGGAUCCGAGCGUUAUCCGGAUUUAUUGGGUUUAAAGGGAGCGUAGGCGGACGCUUAAGUCAGUUGUGAAAGUUUGCGGCUCAACCGUAAAAUUGCAGUUGAUACUGGGUGUCUUGAGUACAGUAGAGGCAGGCGGAAUUCGUGGUGUAGCGGUGAAAUGCUUAGAUAUCACGAAGAACUCCGAUUGCGAAGGCAGCCUGCUGUACUGUAACCGACGCUGAUGCUCGAAAGUGUGGGUAUCAAACAGGAUUAGAUACCCUGGUAGUCCACACAGUAAACGAUGAAUACUCGCUGUUUGCGAUAUACAGUAAGCGGCCAAGCGAAAGCGUUAAGUAUUCCACCUGGGGAGUACGCCGGCAACGGUGAAACUCAAAGGAAUUGACGGGGGCCCGCACAAGCAGUGGAGUAUGUGGAUUAAUUCGAAGCAACGCGAAGAACCUUACCAGGUCUUGACAUCCGAUGCAUAGCGCAGAGAUGCGUGAAGUCCUUCGGGACAUCGAGACAGGUGGUGCAUGGUUGUCGUCAGCUCGUGCCGUGAGGUGUCGGCUUAAGUGCCAUAACGAGCGCAACCCUUAUCGAUAGUUACCAUCAGGUUAUGCUGGGGACUCUGUCGAGACUGCCGUCGUAAGAUGUGAGGAAGGUGGGGAUGACGUCAAAUCAGCACGGCCCUUACGUCCGGGGCUACACACGUGUUACAAUGGGGGGUACAGAAGGCAGCUACACGGCGACGUGAUGCUAAUCCCGAAAGCCUCUCUCAGUUCGGAUUGGAGUCUGCAACCCGACUCCAUGAAGCUGGAUUCGCUAGUAAUCGCGCAUCAGCCACGGCGCGGUGAAUACGUUCCCGGGCCUUGUACACACCGCCCGUCACACCAUGGGAGUUUGUAACACCCGAAGUCAGUGACCCAACCGCAAGGAGGGAGCUGCCGAAGGUGGGAUAAGCGACUGGGGUG
rnacentral:rRNA from 1 species